rnacentral:lncRNA from 1 species
CUUUCUUACAGACCAAGUCGGAGGAAGUGAGAAUUGCAUAAUCCUGACCAGUCUCCCUUGAAAAAUUGCUUUGACUGAUUGCACUUCACUCACAUGCCAUCAGCGCUCAAGGCACUAAUCUUCUCUCUACUGAUCUUCUUGCUUAUACACACGUAAGUCAUCUGAUUCAUGGAUAUAAAAUCCUUCCUUCAC